rnacentral:rRNA from 1 species
UCCCAAGGGUAUGGCUGUUUGCCAUUUAAAGUGGGACGCGAGCUGGGUUUAGAACGUCGUGAGACAGUUCGGUCCCUAUCUGCCGUGGGCGUUGGGGAUCUGAGGGGGGCUGCGCCUAGUACGAGAGGGCCGGGGUGGACGCAUCACUGGUGUUCGGGUUGUCAUGCCAAUGGCACUGCCCGGAGCCUAAAUGCGGCAGAGAUAAGUGCUGAAAGCAUCUAAGCACGAAACUUGCCCCGAGAUGAGUUCUCCCUGA